CCUCGGGAGGCAGCAGUGGGGAAUAUUGGACAAUGGGGGGAACCCUGAUCCAGCCAUGCCGCGUGUGUGAAGAAGGCCCUCGGGUUGUAAAGCACUUUCAGUGAGGAAGAACGCCUGGUGGUUAAUACCCAUCAGGAAAGACAUCACUCACAGAAGAAGCACCGGCUAACUCCGUGCCAGCAGCCGCGGUAAUACGGAGGGUGCGAGCGUUAAUCGGAAUUACUGGGCGUAAAGCGCGCGUAGGUGGCUUGAUAAGCCGGUUGUGAAAGCCCCGGGCUCAACCUGGGAACGGCAUCCGGAACUGUCAAGCUAGAGUGCAGGAGAGGAAGGUAGAAUUCCCGGUGUAGCGGUGAAAUGCGUAGAGAUCGGGAGGAAUACCAGUGGCGAAGGCGGCCUUCUGGACUGACACUGACACUGAGGUGCGAAAGCGUGGGUAGCAAACAGGAUUAGAUACCCUUGUAGUC
rnacentral:rRNA from 1 species